UGAUGAUGAUGAUGAUGAUGAUGAUGAUGAUGAUGAUGAUGAUGAUGAUGAUGAUGAUGAUGAUGAUGAUGAUCAUCAUCAUCAUCAUCAUGGCUG
rnacentral:pre_miRNA from 1 species